AUGUGUUUCUGUUUAUAUGUGAAUGAGCGAAAAUGCCAUUCAAAAUGUUUUAAAUGUUUAACUGUCCCUUAGCAUAGGCAACAAGCCAUAAAUUUUUGCCCAAUCUUUCCUUGGGCGAGUUUAGUUGUCGCCUCGAAAGGUUGGAAAGAGACGGCAGCAGGUCCAGCGUACCGAGUUAUCCUUCGGAAUUGUGCAAUCACGAAUGUGCACGAAGAAAUUUCGGGAAAUGGCGAAUCUCAGGAUUGUCCGGGAUUCACUUUCCUUAAUCUGAGGGAACAUAGAUUCUGCCAUUUCGUCUGUGAACAGCCAGUGUAUAGGAAGUGUGCGCGUUUGUUAGUUUAUUCGUUUGUCUAAUAAAUUAGUAGUAAAGUGUGCGUAGUCAGGAUUUGUGUGCGAUAGUUAAGAUAAAGCCAACGAUAUAAGCCGUUUGGCUAUUUUCAUUCGCAGCAAUCAGACUCGCACCCAAGCGUGCGAAUUUCCUCCCCUCCACGGACGAAAGCAUUCCCAGCAACCGUCAACCCGCUGGAAGCCGGACGAUCCGCC